AGAGUUUGAUCAUGGCUCAGAUUGAACGCUGGCGGCAGGCCUAACACAUGCAAGUCGAGCGGUAGCACAGAGAGCUUGCUCUCGGGUGACGAGCGGCGGACGGGUGAGUAAUGUCUGGGAAACUGCCUGAUGGAGGGGGAUAACUACUGGAAACGGUAGCUAAUACCGCAUAACGUCGCAAGACCAAAGUGGGGGACCUUCGGGCCUCAUGCCAUCAGAUGUGCCCAGAUGGGAUUAGCUAGUAGGUGGGGUAACGGCUCACCUAGGCGACGAUCCCUAGCUGGUCUGAGAGGAUGACCAGCCACACUGGAACUGAGACACGGUCCAGACUCCUACGGGAGGCAGCAGUGGGGAAUAUUGCACAAUGGGCGCAAGCCUGAUGCAGCCAUGCCGCGUGUGUGAAGAAGGCCUUCGGGUUGUAAAGCACUUUCAGCGGGGAGGAAGGCGAUAAGGUUAAUAACCUUGUCGAUUGACGUUACCCGCAGAAGAAGCACCGGCUAACUCCGUGCCAGCAGCCGCGGUAAUACGGAGGGUGCAAGCGUUAAUCGGAAUUACUGGGCGUAAAGCGCACGCAGGCGGUCUGUCAAGUCGGAUGUGAAAUCCCCGGGCUCAACCUGGGAACUGCAUUCGAAACUGGCAGGCUAGAGUCUUGUAGAGGGGGGUAGAAUUCCAGGUGUAGCGGUGAAAUGCGUAGAGAUCUGGAGGAAUACCGGUGGCGAAGGCGGCCCCCUGGACAAAGACUGACGCUCAGGUGCGAAAGCGUGGGGAGCAAACAGGAUUAGAUACCCUGGUAGUCCACGCUGUAAACGAUGUCGAUUUGGAGGUUGUGCCCUUGAGGCGUGGCUUCCGGAGCUAACGCGUUAAAUCGACCGCCUGGGGAGUACGGCCGCAAGGUUAAAACUCAAAUGAAUUGACGGGGGCCCGCACAAGCGGUGGAGCAUGUGGUUUAAUUCGAUGCAACGCGAAGAACCUUACCUGGUCUUGACAUCCACAGAACUUUCCAGAGAUGGAUUGGUGCCUUCGGGAACUGUGAGACAGGUGCUGCAUGGCUGUCGUCAGCUCGUGUUGUGAAAUGUUGGGUUAAGUCCCGCAACGAGCGCAACCCUUAUCCUUUGUUGCCAGCGGUCCGGCCGGGAACUCAAAGGAGACUGCCAGUGAUAAACUGGAGGAAGGUGGGGAUGACGUCAAGUCAUCAUGGCCCUUACGACCAGGGCUACACACGUGCUACAAUGGCAUAUACAAAGAGAAGCGACCUCGCGAGAGCAAGCGGACCUCAUAAAGUAUGUCGUAGUCCGGAUUGGAGUCUGCAACUCGACUCCAUGAAGUCGGAAUCGCUAGUAAUCGUAGAUCAGAAUGCUACGGUGAAUACGUUCCCGGGCCUUGUACACACCGCCCGUCACACCAUGGGAGUGGGUUGCAAAAGAAGUAGGUAGCUUAACCUUCGGGAGGGCGCUUACCACUUUGUGAUUCAUGACUGGGGUGAAGUCGUAACAAGGUAACCGUAGGGGAACCUGCGGUUGGAUCACCU
rnacentral:rRNA from 2 species